GGGAAGGUGGCUCAGUGGUAGAGCACUUGCCUUGCAUGCAUGAGGCCCUGGGUUUGAUUCCUCAUUACCA
rnacentral:tRNA from 1 species